rnacentral:rRNA from 1 species
AGAGUUUGAUCAUGGCUCAGAACGAACGCUGGCGGCGUGCUUAACACAUGCAAGUCGAACGCGAAAGUUUUCUUCGGAAAGCGAGUAGAGUGGCGCACGGGUGAGUAACGCGUAAGUAAUCUACCCUGGUAUCUGGGAUAACCCACCGAAAGGUGUGCUAAUACCGGAUACGCUGGUAACAGGAAAGAUGGCCUCUGAUUCAAGCUAUCGUACCAGGAGGAGCUUGCGUACCAUUAGCUAGUUGGUAGGGUAAAGGCCUACCAAGGCGACGAUGGUUAGCGGGUCUGAGAGGAUGAUCCGCCACACUGGAACUGGAACACGGACCAGACUCCUACGGGAGGCAGCAGUGAGGAAUAUUGCGCAAUGGGGGAAACCCUGACGCAGCGACGCCGCGUGGAUGAUGAAGGCCUUCGGGUCGUAAAAUCCUGUCAGAUGGAAAGAAGUGUAGAGUAGUUAAUACCUGCUCUAUUUGACGGUACCAUCAAAGGAAGCACCGGCUAACUCCGUGCCAGCAGCCGCGGUAAUACGGAGGGUGCAAGCGUUGUUCGGAAUUACUGGGCGUAAAGCGCGCGUAGGCGGCUAUUUAAGUCAGAUGUGAAAGUCCACGGCUCAACCGUGGAAGUGCAUUUGAAACUGGAUGGCUUGAGUACUGGAGGGGGUGGUGGAAUUCCCGGUGUAGAGGUGAAAUUCGUAGAUAUCGGGAGGAAUACCGGUGGCGAAGGCGACCACCUGGCCAGAUACUGACGCUGAGGUGCGAAAGCGUGGGGAGCAAACAGGAUUAGAUACCCUAGUAGUCC